UACGUAGGGGGCAAGCGUUGUCCGGAAUCAUUGGGCGUAAAGAGCGUGUAGGCGGUUCGGUAAGUCGGCUGUGAAAGUCGGGGGCUCAACCCUCGAAUGCCGGUGGAUACUGUCGGGCUAGAGUACGGAAGAGGCGAGUGGAAUUCCUGGUGUAGCGGUGAAAUGCGCAGAUAUCGGGAGGAACACCAGUGGCGCAAGCGGCUGACUGGCCGAGACCUGACGCUGAGACGCGACGGCGUGGGGAGCAAACCGG
rnacentral:rRNA from 1 species